GGUAGCUUAAUGGUAAAGCACCCAACCGGCAAUUGGGAGAUCUGGGUUCAAGUCUCGGCC
rfam:Strigamia maritima strain Brora ctg7180001230942, whole genome shotgun sequence.